rnacentral:sRNA from 1 species
UUACGAAGGAGCCGUUCAUAUAGUUUGC